AAUGAUUAUAAGAGACUUUGGUUCCAAACUCGAGCUUUUAAAAAUUGUCGAAGAAGAAGAUAUGUGGUCAGUGUUUGCAACGGAAAUAGAUUCUUUUACGUAAUCAUUUUAGAUGUUUUGCGAUAUCACUAUACCUAGAAAGUUGAAUAUCCGAGCUGACACCCUUGCAAAAGGGUUUAUUUUCGAGAUGUCAUUUUUUCUAUAUAAAUUCUCGGGUUCCGAAGUGAUUGGCUCUUGAUGCCUACCUUUUCGAACCUGUUUAAUAAUAUAUAGAAUAUUUUGUCGUAAAAAAGAA
rnacentral:sRNA from 1 species